UUUUUUUUUUCUUUUUCUUUUCUAAAAUGUUUAUCCUGUGCAGAAUCUAUGACCGAGAUUACAUCAAGUUCCGUGGCCAAAACUGCCCAAACUUCCCCUACUCGGACUACACUGAUAAGAUCCCCCAUAUAAACAUUUCCACCAAAGUUCUUUGGAAAGCUAACACUUCCAUUUUCUCUGCAGCGGCUCAAUCUGUCUGACAAAGUACAUGCUACGUAACAUGAGUCCCGGCGAGUCAUUCCUCUGGUUUACACCUGAACUUCUUGGAGAUGACGUUGGCUCUCCAUGCACGAGGCAGACUUGGCCUCGAGCUUCAAACUAUUGCGGAGUCUAUCGUCUCAAAAGGUCAGAAAGUCCUUUGAAGGUAACUAGUAAGCCUUCCUCUAAACCUGACCAUCUAGGAUGUGAAAUACAACGUUGCCUGAUCUGAAGGCAACAAUAUAAUCCAGAGCCAACACUCAAUCUUUUGAUUCCAACACUCUGGUUUUUAUGUCUUUUCUCUGCUGGUUUGCUUCGAGUGUCUCUUGUCAAGAUGGCGCUUCGGGACCAGCUAGUGCCGUGGAAUUAAAGUUCCAGGCUUACGGCGAGGAGGCCACGCUCGGGUGCUGAUUGCGGCCCAGCAUGGCGUCACCGUGUGGCAGCCAGCGCCCCGACGCGCGACGAGAUCGAGGAGUUCUUCGUGGGAGUGGAGGAGAAGGAUGACAGCAGCAAGCGUUUUGUAGACAACUAAGCACGCUCUCCCUUUUCUGUUGCCUGGCUGCCGCUCUUACUUGGUUUGUUUCUCUGAUGCUUACUUGGUUUUUUUCUGUUUACGUGUUCGGUUGUGCUUGACGUGCGUGCUUGCUCUCCGCAACGCAGGUUACAAUUUUGAUGUUUUCAAUGUUCCCCUGUCUGGUCGUUUCGAAUGGGUACAUUUCCACCCUCGUUGCUCCUAAAUUAUUCGCACGCUACUCGCUACGAUGCGCUGCUGCAAGAGGAAAACUGGAGAAAAGGAAAGAGCAGGAAAAAAAAACCGUCUUGUUAGACUAGAGAGAGAGAGAGAGAGCUCCUAGAGAAGACCAUGCAUUGACACAGUCAUGUAACAGACUAAUGCCGUCAUGAUGUAUAGAAAAGAGAUGAGAAGUAAGGCAAGCAAGAAAAAGAGAUGUCAUACUCAUACCUUCCUUUGAGCCUUUGAGCCAGUUGAUUCUUUGCCAUCAUUGUUUUGUUUUUCUUCUCCUCUGGACUCUCAUACGAUUCGACUGGGUGAGUCUUUCAUUAUACGUUCCAAGAGAUGAACUUCGAUAUUUUGCUUGCUUGUUUUGUUUUUGUUUUGCAUUUCCAGGGUCAUGUAAGACACAAGAGGAGGCAGCAAGGUUCAAGAAAAACUCAAACCUCACUCGCUAAUUACUAAGAAUCUAACAAUGACCGAGCAGUCAUUAGAUUCUUUGGCAAGGCUAAAGCAGACAUGCCUCAGGUGAUUUGUUUGUAUUUCCUGAUUGAGAUACUGAGACGAUAUUACAGUGGAUCACUUUGAGCAAGGAAGAUUUUAUUUCCUACAUACGGAAUUCUGCACAGUCGAGCAGGAAAAGGAAGUUCAAAGUACAUACAGCUCCAAGAGCUGUAUACGAUAGGAGGUGGAGAGGAGGAUUGUGGUAAACGAAGCAAUGCCACACUGCAUAGAUGAGAAGACGAUCGGUGACUGUAUAGUAAACGAAGGGAUGCCACACGAUAUAGCUUGAAGCAUACAAGAGGAAUGAACGCUGAGGGUGCAAUGGAUGAGUCGAAUUUGGAGAAAGACAUUUAGCAUGCCAAACUCUCAUAUGUCAUUGUCUAUGAAUGAAUCCAGUCAAAAUUAACAUGGACCAUGCCACAGAGAGUAUAUGCCACUUCGGUAUACAAGUAUCCUUAAAAACAUACAUCAUUUGGUAUAAAAUUAACAAUCACUUGGUCAUCAAUUAGACAAUCAAACCAUCAAGAUACACAAUCAUAUUUUGGAUUUCUCUUGACCUAAGAAUGGGGGAAGCGUAGCCAGUUCAGCAAUAGAUUCUGAUGCUCUACCCACAUACUUCUUCAAGCUUCUCAUCAGCAGAUUUGAGUGUCGACUGUAAAGCAACUGUGAAGAAGGGUGUUCAGCUGCAGAAACUGGAUCACUCUGCCUCGCAAACCCGGUGAGAUGAAGCAGUGAGACACUGUCAUUGGGUUCACGCCGAAGGCUUGGCAAUCGUCCUUACAAAUGGCACAGGACAUAAUAUAGCAUUCAUGGCUUUGUUUGUGCAUAACAUUUGUGGAUUUUGCUUUUACAUCUGGAGUGGAUUUCUAACCCUUUGGCUCUAUUGUGCAAUCUAGAUUUGGACUUGCUCACAAAUCCUAGGAAGUAUCAUGUUUGUAUGUGCAAUUGAGUUUUUUAGUUUGGAAGUAUGUGUCAUGAAUUGCAGAACUUUUUCUAUGUUUAUGGUGUUGGAUAACUGAUUAAGUUAGUUGCGUGCUGAGAAAUAAUCUUGUUUAAACCAUAUAGCUUGGUCUAUAACUACAUGUUCUUUGUUGUAGGUUAUUUAUUCUUGCAAUGAACGUCUCCGCAAUAGUUGCUGUACUAGAGUUUGUCUACUCAAGUCCCGUCCUCAAAGCAACUAGAUCCUUGAGGCCUAUUUAUGCUUGAUAUUUCUGUUACGCAUUUCUAACUUCCAGAAUUUAUUUUCUAACACAAUUUUGUUUUUUCUUCCAUAAGAUAACAGAAGGCCACAACUGAACUGCUAAUCCGGCCACCAGCCUCUCAUUCUCACAGUCCUCGACAACGCACUCUUCAAAGAGAUCUGGCCCGAGCAGCAGGACAAAGCUCUGGACGAUCUAAACACCUGUGUGUCCCAGUCCACUACAACAACAGAGAAGGCAGUGAGUAUGCUGAGCAUUGACUCCACCUCAACAAAGUUCACUUGGGAGAGGGGUGACCAUAAGCUUCUCAAGUUGCUACCUAUCCCAGAGCAGCUUUCUAAGCUCGCUAUUUGCCGGGCAAAAGGGGAUCAAAUCUUUUUCAUUUCCAUGUUUCAUUUUAGCAUGUACAGUCCACUUCCAGCAAACUUUUGAUUGAGAAAGCUCUACAGCGACCUCGACUUGCUGCUGCUGGCCAUGAUCAAGGAGUGCCAAGAUCUAGCGAGAAACAAUAGAGGCCAGACCCAUGACUUACUGGGGCUGGAAACUCUUCUUUCGACAAUUGGCCCGUGAUGGAGGAGUGCAAGACCACCUACGUUGCUGGCCACAAGAUGAUGGCAACUCCCCUCACCUGGUCCGUGAUGGUUUUGCAUAUUGCUUUCAAGUUCAAGAUUUGUUUUUCCUGGCUAGAUCAACAUAAUUCUGGCUUUGGAGCUGUUUGAGAGGAUGAGCUAUGGACAAUAUAGCUAGAACAAUAGGGUUCUAUGUCAAGAAGCAUAUGAUUAAACAGACUCCUGGCAUACAUGAUAAAAUGCUAUCAAUGUAUGGAAAGUGUAAAGACAGACCUCGCCCACCAGCUCUGAAUAUCUUGAACCAAUCGUGAUUGUGCCACUGCAUCCUUGAUUAAAACAAAGUCUUCAAAUUAGAAAGGUGAAUGUGUGCCACUUACUUGACAGUAGCAGCCAGCUCCAGGGAAGGAAAUGGGCACUUGUCAAGCUCGUAACCACACAAGGAACCGACUCUUAGACUGCCAAAAUCCCCAAAUCUUCUGUUAGCGAGCUGAGAACUGGAGGAUUCGGGCUGGAGAAGUCGGCCUUACAUCCUCCACCGCUGCUACACAACUGCCGUAGCUCAACGACAAACCCCGAUAUAUAUAUAAUUCAUGUUUUGUGCACGGUGAGACUAUUUACUCCCGCAUGCUAGGUGAGACUAUGCUGUGCCAACUAGAAGACGAGGCUGUCGUCGGCACCGAGCUCUGUGUCGCCCCUCCGAGCCACCUCGAGGAUUCCGUCCGGAGGGCGCCAUAUGCCAUUUUGAGCAUACGAGUUUGGUCAAAAUGUUACUCCAAAUGUGACUAUUGAGACGCAAGAAUUUUUGGGAGAGAUUAUAUUUCUACUUACAAACGAAUUUGAUUAGAGAUAUACAGCAAAGUGAUUGAUUUUUACAAGAGGAACAGAUACAACAGGAGUGAGAACCAUCACAUUAGAAGAGAUGCAACACUCAAAGUCAAUUGCGGAACUUAUUCUAGAAUUCUUCUCCGAGGCCUCAUUUUCGAUGCAAGUAGAUGCCAUCGUAGAAUUCUUCAUACCUAUUUUCAACCUCUGAAAAACAUGGCUCUUGCAAGUCUAACAUUAUAUACUCUGGUGGUAAACAAGGUCUCUCCAUAGCAGACCUUGUUCUAUAGUCAGAAGAUAAAUUUUAACAAACAGGAUGGAUUGAUAACUGAUCUACAUGAAACAAAGUGUUGUCUCUCAUAGUAUGUCUAUGAGCAAGCUUAUAUUUUAAUGCAAGUAGCUGGCAUAGUAGAAUUCUUAAUUUUGAGGUAGAUUAUUUUUUCAAGCUCCCUUAGUGUGUGUGACUGCUUAGUUUGUGUGUGUGACUGCUUACCUAAUUAAACAACUCAAAAGUUUGUGUGUAAUUCUGUCACAGAUUGACAGUUCAUUUUGUCUUGGGUCACCAAGUAGAUUAUUAUAAAAGGAGAAGAUAAAGAAGUUGAGUAUGAUUACACCAUCAAAUUAGAAGAGAUACAACAAUUGUAUAACUUUUCUUCUCCAAAGAGUGUAAGUUUAUCAUCUUGCUCCCUCAUUAUUUCUUUCUUUAUGCAAGAUGAUUAACUUAUAUUCUUCAUGUUGCCGGAGAAGAUAAGUUCCACAAUUGCUGCAUCUCUUCUAAUUUAAUGUUGUAAUCAUUCUCAUAUUGUACAAAAUUAACUGUCAAUCUGUGACAGAGUUACUGUGUCCAAAGUAUCCAAGCACACAAACUUCAGAGUUGUUUAAUCAUGGUAGCGCAGCGAGGCUCUAACCUCAGCGAACAGAUGAACAUCACAGUGCGAAGCUCGGAUCACUGCAGAAGCUCCUCCUCGCCAGAUCUCCAUCGUGGGAAAAGACUCCUCGUAAGCAAUCACACUAAGGCCAGUACUAAACACUAGUGGUGUCUCCCCGAGCUCACAUUCGAUUUGUCAUACAUUCCAGUGGCACUGAAAGCCAUGGUGCAUAUCUUUUAAUGGGAGUGUACGUCAAAGGCCCCGAUGGUGAAAUGAGAGUGCUGAAAAACAUAUCAGAGCCAGGAAAAAAAUAUGCCGUGGUCGUUUCCAGUAUAAGAGUCUUGCACCUGUGAGAGUGAGAGAGAUCUGUAGCUCGCUCGAAGAACAAAAUUGAGAGAGAACGAAAGAGAGUGAGAGAUGGUCUUCUUCUUCACUUUCUUUCCUGCGGCUUUCCUGAUUUUCUUUGCUUUGAUCCUUCGCUCUAGCUAGAACUUUAGCGUGGUGUGCGCAAGCUCUCGGGUUUCCAGUAUAGGAAGGAAAAAAGUUCUCUUAUGCAGUGGGCUUUAGUUCCUUCUCUUUUCGACUUGUGGUUCGUGGCCCCGUUUCCAGUACAUGAAAUCUCUUAUAAGUUCCUUGGUUUCUCUGGUUUUCUUUCGUCUUGUAUUGGUCGAUCAUGCCUCGCAUCAAUAAUUCUGUUAGAUCGUCCAGGGUAGCACCUGCACCUGCACCUGCCUCUGGCAUUGCGGCGCCGCCGUACCCAAUCGCCGCCGCCCGUCGGCCAAUAUCCAUCGCAUCGAGAGUUGCUCGCUACGGAGAUACUUACGAAGGGAUUCCGGAUUGAUCCGGAUUCUAGUGACGCGCCCACGGCCCCGAAUCAAGAAGAACAUGCGGCGUGGGCGUUCGGCGCGCAAGGGCAAACCUUCAGCUUCUCCAAGGCCGGAACCAGCUCGCCACCAAGCUCUGGUCUUUCCAGCAGAUUCCGCACCCACCAUACAGUGCUAGCCGAUCAUGAUUCAGCAGCUCCUCUUGAUGAUGAUGAUGACCCCGCGGCCUCAUUGACAUCGCCCCCGGUACCUUCAGCAGCGUCCCAGGCGCCAAGCUAGCGAUGGCAAGAUGAGGAACCAACGAGCUCGAGUUCUUCAAGCGAUGGUGAGCCGGGUGGUGAUCAUCCAAUGACCGAGGAGAAGGCCACCACUCGGACUAAGACCAAGCGACCUCCAAGUGGCAGAUCGAGCUCUAAGAUCAUCAAAAGUUCGAAGAUGGCUCGAAAGGUUUUAUCAUCCAAGCAGGAAGAAAAGAGCAGGAAGAGGAAGCCGCCGACGUGCGCACGGAGAUACACUAAAAAGACGUCCCGUUUGGAGUCUCGUUCUACAAGCGAAUCCAGCGGUGGGAGAUUCACCUUUGGUGAGUAUGUUCUUCAAAAGAAGAUUUUAGAUUUGUCACACUGAUUUUCUCGUUUUCUUGGUGAUCAGGGGAAACAAGCAAAUGUAUGUUGGUUCAUGCAGCACUGAGGAAGCCGGAGCCAGGUUAAUUUGUUUAUCUUCUUCUUUUUCUAUCUUUAUUAAUGACAGUGACCGAGCUUACACCAAGUUCCGUGGCCAAAACUGCCCAAACUUCCCCUACUCGGACUACGUGGACGAGAUCCCCCACGUACGAUCAUAUUAACAUUUCCAUCAAAGUGAUCUAACACUUGGGGUUUUUCUGCAGUGGAUCAAUCUGUCUGACAAAGAAUCAUCUACAUGCUACGUAACAUGAAUCGCGGUGAGUCGUUGCUCUGAUUUACACCCGAACUUCUUGGAGGUGACGCUGGCUCUCCAUGCACGACGGAGACUCUGCCUCGAGCAUCAAUCUAUCGCUGAGUCUACCGUCUCAAAAAGUCAGAAAGUCAAGAAGUCUCUUGGGCGCCUUCCAUAACGUAAGUAACCCUUAUCCCUCUAAAUUUGACCAUGUAGCUACCUGGAUGUGAGACACAACGUUGCCUGGAUUUCACUUUCCAAAGCCAACACCCAAGCUUUCGAUUCUAACACUUUGUUUUUCAUAUUUGGUGUAGGCUGGACUCUCGUACGUUUCAACUGGAUGAGUCUUUCAUUAUAUGUUCCAAGAGCUGAACUUUGAUAUUUCGUUUUUGUUUGUUUGUUUUGUUUUGCAUUUCCAGGGUCAUGUAAGACACAAGAGGAGGCAGCAAGGUUCAAGAAAAACUCAAACCUCACUCGCUAAUUAUUAAGAAUCUAAAACACAGGAGUUAUGACUGAGCAGUCAUUAGAUUCUUUGGGAAGGCUAAAGCACUCAGCUUCGCAUAUGAAGACUACAUGGAUGAGAUGCCUUAGGUGAUUUUUUUUUUGCAUGUCCUGAUUGAGAAACUAAAACGAUAUUACAGUGGAUCACUUUGAGCAAGGAAGAUUUUAUUUCCUACAUACUACACACUUGAGCAAGAAAAGGAAGGUAAAGGUACAUACAGCUCAAAGAGCUGUAUACCAUAGGAAGGUGAAAAAGAGGAGGAUGAAUGAUUGUGUGGUAAACGAAGCAAUGCCACACUACAUAGAUGAGAAGAGGAUCGGUGAUUCUGUGGUGAAUGAAGGUUGGGCUUAAGGAAGUACCAAGCAUAUUAGAGGAAUGAACGCUGUGGGUGCAGUGGAGGAGUUUAAUUUGGAGAAAGACACUUUGGAAAGACACAUAGACUGCCAAACUCUCAUAUGUCAUUGUCCAUGAAUAAAUCCUAGCAUGAGAACUCUACAAGAAGCAGCUAUGUCACAAAGAGAGGGAUGCUUGACGCCCAAGAAUACAUCCGCGUAGACUUCAACACUUGCAGCAUUUUGCAGCGAUGAUGUUAAACCAUUGAACUUGUGGCUUGGAAAUCUGCGUAGUGCUCAACGUGUCUCUCGAGAUGUGCUUGAUGAGGCAGUUCCUGGGUAGGGCGAGCACGUUCCUGCCCAGAACGGGCGAGCCGGGCGUUAGCCCGGCGAGCGCGUUCUGGAGGGAACGAGCGAGGCCGUGCCCGGGAACGGCCUUAACGGGCUGUGGCGAGACCGUUAAUGGACACGUGUAAUAACGUUAUUGGAGGAUGAGAGGGUUCUCCAGAACCUCGCGGCUAGCAGCUGAGUUCUGGAGAACCUGGCAGUUGUCAGCCACAUUCUCCAGAACCUGAUAAAAUUCUCGUAGAGAACCUGACUCGAUCCAACGGCUGCCAACGGCUGGAUCAAGUUAACGGGUGAGCCACAGCCCGUUAAGAUAUGAUCUAACUCUCUCCGUUUUCUUUCUACCAGGUGUAUACGCUGCUUCUUCCACGUUAGCAUGUUAACUAUCCUCUUCUCAUGCAAAGAUUUCAAACUAAAUUUACGACUUUUUCCAGAGUUCUUCAGGUAAAGGUGUUCCCAUUUUCCUGGACCAGCUUUUUGAUGGCUACAGGAAAUGGUGUUUGCAAGUGGUUCUACAGCCCGAGCCAAGCAGAAAGAAUCGUCUAAUGAGAGUUCCAGAAAAAAACGGCUUGGCUGCCAUAAGAGAGCCUUGUACAGGAGGAAUUCCUUUUUGACGAACCGAUCUUUGUAUCUGUGCUUACACUUUCAGUUCAGACGCUGGCUACUCUGAAUUUCAGAUUUGUCCCAAAACCAGCAGUAUGGGCGUAUGGAAGUCUGGUCGUUUUCGAAGCCAGCGACAAGAUCACGGAGCUCGCGUUUCCUCCCUUCCAAUCGAAUCACACCCUGGGGGUCUUCACCAUAUCGCUCAGUCGCACUUUCUAUGACAUGAAUAAAUCCCAAGUUUGCGACUUUGGUCUCCAUGAAUCCCAGACUUCGAUCUUGUGUUCUUCCGUCGCACCAGAACUAAUGCUGCAAUCGCUGGGAGUUAGCUCUAGAAUGCGAUCAGCGGCUCGUUUUCCAACGUGCAGAUUGUUGGAUUCGAGCACACCGUCCUCUACAACGCCAAUUCCGGCAUACAUCCUCGGCCUCCUCAAGUGGCUGAGCAUAUCUGAGAUCACUACAUUUUGCUCGAAAGUUGGCCGCUUGCCAACGUGGUGCUAGACUACAGGCGUCGAGGAUUGUAAGAAAAAUGGCUAUAUCAACCAGCAAGAGGUCUAGCUCCUCCUUGUGAUGUCCAUUUUGGCGAUCUUCCGAAGACCCUACCGCAUAUUCUGAUUCUAUAGAAUAUCCAGAUCGUGAUGGGAUGGAUACCAAGGGCUUCUAUGCCAUCGUGUGGUGGAGCCACAAUACAAGCUUUCAACCAUCUUUACGUGUAACAGUUGCAGCGAAAUUCUACAACUGCGUAUGGGAUGGAAUUCUACACUCCCACAUCACUUAUUUACAUCAAACCAUGAACUAAGAGAACUUGUGUUCCUGUCUCUGAUUGAGCGCUCUCGUCCCUUCUCUAGUGAUGUGGCUUUCGGUUUUGACCCAAGUUCAACAGUGACUAUAUUCGAUCGGAGGUUUGUAUAGAUGUUUGUACACAUGCAAAUUGGUAGAUGUAUCCGUUAACUCCGUUCAACCAAGCACAAUAAUUCCCAGGCAGAUGGUGGAUUCUGAUUGUGCUGCGCAUUUUUUGGGCGUGGUCACAUGCUCAAGGCCCAGAUUUCUGAUGGCAUAUGACCAUUUGUUGGGGGGCGGGGGAGGGUCUCGCUUGCUGACCAGGAGACAAGUCAGCGUGGAGAGUUAUAUGUAUGGACACGAAUCCAGCGGCCCUGAAAGCCAUGGUGCGUACGUUUAAGUGGGCAGCUGCAUGGCUUCAUAUCGAAGGCGGUCGUCAUGGGCAGCCCUGAUACGCUACACUAGAGAAAUCAGCUGAUUCAAUAUGUAUAAAUCGGUAGUAAAAGUCAGUUGAAAUCAGCAAUGAAAUGCAAGUUAAUGUGCUACUCUAGGGUUUUCCCACAGACGGCCACUUGACCAGACCAGGUGUGCUAGGUGCCAUGAUUGGUGAGGAGAGGCAGCAAAUCCAGGUAUGGAGCUCUCUGGAAUCUCCCAAAAUCCUGUUAUUCCUUGUUAUGGAGACAAGUGAUGGCAAGUCUCCAUGGCAGCAAACCAGCCAAGUCAUCCAUCAACCGCCAAAGCAAUGGAUUUUCUACACAUAAAAUUUAGAUAUCUACAUGGUAUCAUGUUUGUUUCAAUUUAGUAAACACAGCAACAUGACGAGCAAGAAUGUGCUAGUGCUCUCACAGCAGAGGGCGGAGCAGCUAAUCCAAAAAUGUAUGUGAGCACAGCAUGAACCCAAUCCUUGCCCUUGCCAAUCUGUGUGCAUGGCGCGUGGGCAUCCCUUCCAAAGAUUCCCACUGCCUCCUCCCCCUUCUCUUACUCUUUAGCGGUUUUCUUUAGUAUUAAUGGCUUCUAGCACUCCACUCCACCUCACACUACACCUGCUUGAGCCACCCCAGUGAGCACGGCAGUCACUUUGGCUGGCAGCUAGGACACAAGAUGGGAGAAGAAGUUCACAGCAAGAACUUCAUGACAUGGAACACUAAAGUCCAAUUCAUUUUGAUGGCUAAAGAUUGCUAGGACUUAGUCAAGGGAAUUGAAGAAGACUUCCUGGCACUAAUGCCACUUUGUAGCUUAUCUGGACUCCAAAAACUUCAAAGCUGGUGACUGGACUAGGCUUUGGAGAUGAAUUCAAAUGCCAAACUAGUUCUCACCCAAACUGGUUGCAACAUAUGUUUGCAAUAGCUCAAGGAAGUGGGGGGCACAACAGUCUUACAUGAUUAUGCAAAAGCUUUCUUUCUCUACUCUGUCUCCUUAGAGUUGUAACAAUCAUCUUCCAUACUCUCAUUCGUCCCAUGCAAAACCAUAAAGGAGCUCUACUCUAAUAUGCUCAAGGAAGAGCACUGAGUAUAAAGCUAGCAAUUCCCUUUAGGCUGCUCAUAAGUAACCCUUGUUUCUUGGCAAAAAACUAUCGAGUGGGGAGCAGAAGAAAGGAGGCAGGGCCUCAUGGCUUUCUUAUAGUUUUUUCUCCAAGAAGAAAAAAGGUCCUUAUUGUGUAAAGAUGAGAUAUAUAAAGCAUGAAUGUAUGCAAAGAAGGCUACACCCAACACUUGCGUACACAGAGCAAUUUAUUGUUGAUGAUGGCUUUUCCCCCAUCACUGGUGUUUGUUCUAGAGGUGUCAUAACUAGAUCACACGACUCCCUUGAGGUUUGUAUUUCACAUUUAUAAACCUCUCCACAUUCCACAAUAGGUUUAUGUUGGUGACAACAUGGCAUGGUGGUGGUUAGACUUUCAGAUGGACCUCUUAAAGAAGUUCAUCAUGUUCACUUUGUUCCUAAAGCUAGAUAAACUAUUCUUUCCAUAGGUGCAGCAUAGCAUCAAGGCUUUACCACCACUUUCUUUGCAAAAGGGUGCACAUCUUAAACUCUUUAUUGUUUAAAUAAGCAUAAAAAACCAUCAAGUUGUGGCAUGCUUGUAUGGGGCAUGUCAAUGAACAAGAGUUGCACACUUACUUUGUCAAGAAUUAUGGAGGAUCAAGUUACAAGUUUGCUAGAUCUGGUUCACAAAAACAUGUGUUACCUACUUGUGGAAACAUACAUACUUUGUGUCUUUUAUCAAUGACCAUUCCAAGUAUGCUGUGGUGAGUCUCUCCACACAAAGAGUGAAGUUUUUGACCACUUUAAGCUUUCCAAGUCUAUUUUGUAAGUGUUAUUUACAACCUUUUAACAUCUGUAUUGGUUUCUGGACCAUUGAGAGGCAAUGUCCUCUUUGAUCCAUGAACUCCAUCCUUCUGUCACCUCAUUGUUUAGCAGUUUCACAUGACAUUUGACUUUUUAACGUUGAGAAAGUCAGCGAGUCAUCCGGAACUGACCGUGUUUAUCCUUAUAAGACGCGGUCAAUCCCGCACUCAGCACAUCAAAGUUCACACAAAAGCUUCUGCAAGUUUCUCUAGGCAAGUCUAAAAAAGUUCUAAAGAUGGCGAGGAACAAGAUGCUGCUGGCGAUGUUUGUGGUGCUCCUGGUGGGAGUUGACAUUGGAGGAAUUGCAAGCGCGAGCGCCCAGGGGCGAUGCAAGCCAGGGUGGCACUGGGAUGGGAAGACGUGCGUCUCUUGCCCACCCCGCUGGUACUGGUACAACAAUUCUUGCCAGCGAUAUCGAUGCCCGCACAAUUGGUACUGAUACUUGGGUUCUUGCCACCGCUGCCCGACCAACUGGUAUUGGUAUGGGAACUCUUGCCACCACUGCCAGAUGGGCUGGCGCUGGAUUGGAAGUUUCUGCAAGAAGAAUUGAAGUUGCCCAUCAAGAUCCAAGCUUAUAUAAGACUAGCACUUGCCCAGCAUAUGCUGCCCAAUUAGCAAAAUACUUUUUUUUAUAUUAAAAAAUAAAUUGGAAUAGUAUAAAAAAAACAAAUUGUGUUCCACUUUGAAAGAAGAAUUUGAUAAUAUAAAUAUUUAGAACAAAAUAUAUUCCUAGGCAUAAGUAAGAAGAAAUAUCCAUUAAUAAAAAUAAUAGAUAAAAAUUAUUAUUUGGAAAUAUAAAUAUAUUUAUAAAAAUACCCAACCCAGAAAAAGUAAAAAUAAAAUUUCUAUUAUUAUAAUAUGUUAUAUGUAAAUUAUAUUUUUAGUUGGGAUAAACUUAAAUUAAAAUUUUAUCAAAUAGAAGAGAAUAAUUACUAAGAAUAAUUAUUACUCAUUUUUAUUAGCAAGACAUUACUUAAUUAUAGUUUUUACUUAGAAUAUAAAACAAUAAGUUUACAUUAAUAUAUUACUACCCAGAUCUUGUCAUGAAAAUAAUUACUAAAAAAUACUUUGUAAAUAUAUAUGCUAUAGAAACUGUAAUUCCAUAGUAUUAUGUACUAUUAUUAGGUUUUGAAUUUAUGUUACAGGUUUCAAGAACCCUAAUGGGGCGAGCACUUCACUCGCAGAAAAUGAAGAGAAAGAUGCCAGCUCAUCCACCCCAGUGCCUCAGAUACAUCAUAUACCAUAUUCCUAGGCUUCCCAGCAACGACACAACCACCUGGCUCAAGGACCAUGGAUUCGAGCUCCUCCACAAGGCCUUUUCAACACACCCAGACCAAAAACUGGCAAGGAAAUUGGCUGCCUCCUUCAACCCCAAGAACAGCACCAUAACCGAUGGCACCAACGAGAUCACCCUCAGCCCAGCAAGAAUCGCCUUUGUUUUCAAAAUCUCCAACAAGGGACUGCUCAAAUUUUCAGGAGAAGUUCCACAGCAAAUCAUCAAGGCCAAUCGAGAAAUUACCAGUGAGCUCACAUGGGAGGACAUCCAGGAGCAGCAUAUGGAUUGCCUCAAAGCCCUCCUCCUCUACUACGAACUUUGCCCAACAGACCGCACCAUCGGCAAGCGCACAGCAGAAGUCUACGGAGCUCUACUCGAUGGCAAACGUGUGAACGUGGCUCAUCAUCUCCACAAGCUCCUUCUCAAGCUUCUCGACUGUGCCAUCCUCGCCACACUCAACCAGAAGACCAUGCGGACAGUAAUCUUCCCAAUGCUGAUUGCUCUACACCAAGCCCUUCCCAACAAGCAACCGUGGACAACCCAAACAAACUCCACAGAACAAAGUGACAGCUCUGAAGAACACUUAGAAUCAGAAGGAGCAACUCCCAGCAAAAAACUGAAGCCAGCAUCUCAACAAUAAGGCUCAACUCACUCCAACAACACCAGCUCCAGCAACAAACACUCCAACAAUUCAACUCCACUUCGCUGCCACCUCACACACAAAACACCAACGAAUCCAGCUCCAAAACCGCUGAUCCAAGAGCACCUUGUCAUCAGCGACAAUGAAGACAACUCACACCACCAUCCACACUCACCCCAGAGCCCACAUCCACUCGAAUCAGCCCCAAAACCGACAACUUCUCCUACAUCGCCAAAGGAAAACGUCAGCUGCUCGCCCAGAACUCAGUUUCUCCACCAGCUGAGAACAACAUUCUCACCGCCCCAACCUCCUUGACACGUUCCACAAAAGAAAACAUUGACUACCUUCGCCAAUCACUUGAAGAACACACAACCAUGCCUCCUCCAGCAAAUACCACGACCAGCAUUAACAAAAAUUCCGCCCUUUCAACAAAAUUCCAAGCGAAAAAUUUCCCAACGGAUAAAUUAAUUUCAGUGCCACAUCUGGGCCGUUCAUCCACCAUCAAACUGAAAAGCUCAUGUCCAACCACCUCAAAGAAUCCGGACCGACCACAUCACCCACAUCCAACAAAGCAGAUUCAACCUCCAGCAACUUCAACUCCCGGGACCAAGAACACAGCGAACCCUAGCGGGAACCACCAGGAUCACGGAGCAGGAGCAGGAGCAGCAGCCAUGCCUCAGCCACAGAGUCAGGUAUGCCGUGAUUACAAUGAAAUCAGGAAGGAGUACGAAGAUAAACUCUGUGACCCAAGCUACUGCACCCGCAAGUUGUUUGAAGCCCUUGAUCAACGCAUGCACCGCGAGCAAGCAAACCACCUCCCAACACCAGCCGAUAUCGCAUAGCAUCUUCUCAAGCAAGACUCCUUCAUAUACACCCGAAGAGCUAUCAAGAAGGAGUUCUAUGAGCCUUUAAACCACUGGCUGGAUACUUAGCUCGAAGAGAUGAAGCAGGUACGCACUGGGGACAUUAGGAAGAUUGUCUCCAAGAAGCCAUCAACCCCAUCAGCAGCUCAUGAAUUCACCUACAAAUUCAAAUACGAAUAGCUCAACACCUGCUACCGGAAGCUCGAGGAUGAUCAUACCGCCCUCCUGGCUGAGGUAGCCGACCUCCAGGAAGAUGGGACAGAGCCACCAGACGGUGUCCCCAACCACGAGCUUACACUCCCACAGCAAAAACGUCGCCUCUAUCGACUGGAGCAGCAGCAACAACAAGCGAUGGAGACAAACUAUGUUCGCACUGAGGACGGUGUUUAGUUCUGUCAGGGGAGCAGAGUGUAUCAACAAAAAACCUAAACUCAGGGGAUUUUGACCUUGAACCCAAGGCUGCAUUGGAGCCAUAGAUUAACUGCUAGCAUAUACUAUAUGCUGUGCAUAAUUUAGAACCGCUAACUUUUCAAAGGGGGGAAUCCAAAUUGUGGAUCCCUAUCUCCAUUCUAUCAUUUUUCUUAUCAAUACUCAGCAUUUUCUUACUCAUGCUUCUUCUCAGCCCUUGGAGAUCGGGCCCUUUUUUCUUUUGUUUUCUUACUAAUAGUAGAUUUCCAGCGAAAAGGAGUUUUCACACCUCUUCAAGUGCUUGCUUGCUAUGCCUGUGCUGGGGAUACGAGGAGAUCAUAGGAUUCCAGAUAUCCUCCUUCACAUGACGAUAUAUUUGCGAAGAACACAUCAACGCAAGCGAAGCACUCUUGAGCUUCUGACCAAAGGUCCACACUUGGAGUACAUGGUGCCAAGCAAGCACUCAACACGUGGUGCUGUCGAUCGCCUGGAUGGAUCUGGGGAGCACCGAGAUCUCGAUGCUCGUUCCGAGCAUAUGCUGCGAUCAUGAUGCUCCACGAGAAGAGAUUCCUCUCCGGGGUCAUGUCGAAGAUGGAUCUGGCCUCAUCGAGGCGGAGGAGAGGGGCAUAACCGGAUGGAAUUGCGCAGCUCUCCUGGCUGGAAAUUCGCUCAAUUGAUCUCUCCAGAUCUAGUUGAUGGAAUAUAGCUUCAUUUGCAAUUUAUUUUGGCUUUUGUUUCACACUAGAUGAUGUUUUCUUUGUUAUUGACUUGGCUCGGGCUGAACAAUCUUUGCAUGAGAAGAGGAUAGCUUACAUGCUACCUGGAGUUUCACAGCUUGUAAAUGGAAGAAGCGUGAAGGGCAGCAUAUACACCUGGAAAAGAGAAAGAAACAUAGAGAGUUAGAUCAAUGGAGAAUGUCAUCAAGCGCACUUUGAGCCACACAUUGAGCUCUACAUUGACAUUUAGCUGCUUUUCCAAGCCCCAAGUUAAAUGGUUUAUCAUCGAAGCUGCAAAAUCCCACACAUAAAGACAAACUUUCCUUCAGUACAUAGGAGAUAGUAGCUACGCACACAAACCUGAGAAAUACUGGUUUUGCUUCUCAACAAGCUCCGAGCCCUCAAGACGAUAAAAAAAACCUGGCUCUGGCUUCCUUGGUGCUGCAUGAACCUACAUACAUUUAUUUGUUACCAAGAAAAUGAGAAAAUAAAUCUAAAAUCUUAGAACAUACUCACCAAAGGUGAAUCUCCCACCAUUUGUAGAACGAGACUCCAAUGUAGCAGGAUGUCUUUUUAGUGUAUUUCUGCACAAGAUCAUAAAGGCAGUAAACCUUUAGAAUGAGUGUGAUGGUCUUUUGGCUCCUGGGAUCUAGUUUCUGCCAAGUUGCAUUUGAAAUGUGAGCAUACACUGUACAGAUGAAGACCCUCAAGUGCCCCAACCGAGGGUGCUUCCCAGGCAGGUCAGUUUUUAUUAGAGUACAAUUGAGUUGCUCUGCCAGACCGUUCUACUGGGGAGUAUAGGAUGUUGUAAUGAUGCAAUUGACUUGAAUUACCUCAAACAAUGGCUGGCCUUGUCCAGAGAUGAAUCUCUCUUGUAGUAAUGCCUUCUGUUGCGAUCAUAGAGGGCAUCUUGGCUGGAAGCAAUAUGCACGUGGAAUCCUUCCCGAGCACACAAUCUACGCCACUUCCCCUUUUUUAACCUUUCAUAGCACUUUCAAAACAAAGUUUUUAUGAUUUAAGCCUUACUUCGUGUCACCUGAGGAGCCUCUCUCACCCCAUUUCUUCUCCCAAUAAGUUUGCGAUUUUAUUUAAAUCAGAUUUAAAAUCAUAGGACAAUUCAUUUUGUGCCUCCAAUUUUGUUAGUUCUUGAUGCAGUGGCCCUUGCUCCAUUUCCAGCCAAACUGGCAUUGGUGGCACUUCUUGUUGUACCAGUACCAGUUGCCUGGGCAACUCACGCAUUUGCUUCCACUCCACUUCCAUCCGGAGAGGCAUUGGUGGCAAUCGCUGCUAUACCAGUACCAGCCUUUGGGACACUGGAUGGAGGAUUUGAGGCUGAGUCUAACACUGCUAUGUACACGAUUUUUACUGCUUCUCGGGCACGAUAUGUCGUGUUUGUGCUUCAUUGACGGUCAAUAAACAAGUGUACGACUUUAUCCAAAUGAACAACCUCGAGUUUCGAUGUGAAAUUAUCAAAAAUAUCCAUAAAAAUGUCUAUCUAUCUAAUUGCGACCAAUCACUAUUUUAUAUGAAUAUAAAUUGAGUUGCUAACUGGCUCAUAUGCAUUCAAAAAUAUGGUAAUGUUUUUAAAAGUGAACGCACUUAUUGAGUGACACGUAUGUGGUGGAGAAAAGGCCUCAAGCUUCUAAACAUUCCGAAAAAAUUUAUGAAAUAUUAGAAAAUGAAACUCAAGCAGCAAGGCAGGAUGAAAUCUCUUCUGAUUUUGUUGUGAGGAAAUUGGACUUAGAAUGGGACGACACAGUUUAUUUACCAAAAGGUUAUUACAAUUGGCUAUUAUACAAGUUUCAGCAUGGAUCUUGAUGGACAAUUCAGCCCUUAUAGAACCUUCCAGUCCAGCGCCAGCCCCUUUUCGCAUCUGUGGCAACCGAUGCCAUACCAGUACCAACAGAGCAGCGGUGGCAAGAACAUGGUAUUCCAGAACCAGUACUCCGGGCAUCGGUGGCAGGAAUUGUUGUACCCCAGUGCCACCCCGACUUGCAUNNNNNNNNNNNNNNNNNNNNNNNNNNNNNNNNNNNNNNNNNNNNNNNNNNNNNNNNNNNNNNNNNNNNNNNNNNNNNNNNNNNNNNNNNNNNNNNNNNNNACCGCCUCACGCUCUUCUUGUUGCUCGCCAGUUUCUUAAAACUCUCCUCUUGCCUCUGUCUCGACUUGCAAACGAUAAGAAACUUUGAGAAACUCGAAGCUUGAAGUGUUGGAUGGGAGGAUUUACAGUUCUAGGCGGUGACCACGUCUUACAGUGACCACGUUUAGUUCAGGGCUACUCAUUGACAAUAUCUACGUUAAAAAGUAAAAUGUGAAGCUGUGAUACAAUGCGGCCUUGGCUUGGACUGGGUACUGAUUGAUCCAGAUUUGGUCCUCGCGUUUGAGACAACACAAUCCUGUGGGGAAGGAUGGAAACCAAGUGAACUAGAAAAUUCACGUAAACGUUUCUUGAAGUUUACCUCAAACAAUGUCUAAAAGAUGCCAUAGACACUUCUCUGGUAGCUUCUCUUGUACUGAAGCCUUCCUUUGUGUUCGGAGUAUCUUGGUUGUAAGUAAAAAUCAGUCGUAGAAUGCAGCUAAUUAUUCACGCAGGAUAAGUUAAAUAAAUGUUAAAAAGAAAGAAAGCAGGGCAGUCUGAGGCCAGGAGUUCGAGCCUCACAUCUUUCAUAUACUUUCAUAACGAAGCACCACGUCGCGCCCCGAGGGAAUGCACUCGUCAAAGAUGGCCACAGAGAGAUCCGUUAUCCCGGCGCGCGUAUAGGCUCCCAUCAUAACUGUCCAGGAGAUCGUGUUCGGCUGGGGCAUAGCGCGGAGCGAAGUAAGACAGCUAUGCACACGGUUUUUACUGCGUCUCCGGCACGACAAGUCGUAUUUGUGCUUGCUUGACGGGGUCAAUCCAAAUGAAACAGUCUCUAUUUAAGUCCCGUGAAAUCAUCAAAAGAUAAUGGAUCUUUGUUUUACCUGAGUUGCUAAUGCAUUAAAAAAUAGGAUAACAUUUUUACGAACCGUAAUUUCUUGUUGGGUAUUUAAAGUCCACUCAGAAGCAAGAACUAAGAAAAAGUAAACUAAACUAAACUGGCUAAACUAAGAAGCAUGGGACUUUAAUUCACAUUUCUCUCUCAUCUCUUGUCUACUCAGAGUAUGAAACUCAGCAGCGGAAGACUUUGGUAUUUCGAUAAUCUUGCUACUCGAGUUGCUAGAAACUAAAAGUGAAACUGGCAGCAAGUCUCUCAUCAAGCGGAUUCUGGAUGAGGAAACCGAGCCUUAGAAUGGGAAAGAAAAACACACACAUUUUAUUCACCAAAAGGUUAUCACAAGAAACAACACAACCACAACAUUUAUUGUCGUUGACAUAUUACAUGAGCUAAUCUUGAUAGGCAGCUUCAGUUCUUCUUGCAGAAACUUCCGGUCCAGCGCCAGCCCAUCUGGCAGUGGUGGCAAGAGUUGCCAUACCAGUACCAGUUGAUCGGGCAACGGUGGCAAGAGUUGCCAUACCAGUACCAGUUGAUCGGGCAGCGGUGGCAAGAACCCGAGUACCAGUACCAGUUAAUCGGGCAGCGGUGGCAAGAACCCGAGUACCAGUACCAGUUGUGCGGGCAUUGGUGGCAAGAAUUGUUGUACCAGUACCAGCUUGGCAGGCAAGAGACGCACUUCUUCCCAUCCCAGUGCCACCCCGGCUUGCAUCGUCCCUGGGCGCUCGCACUUGCAAUUCCUCCAAUGUCAACUCCCACCAGGAGCACCACCACAAGCAUCGCCAGCAGCAUCUUGUUGCUCGCCAUCUUUUUUAAGAACGCCUCUUGCUUUGAUGUGAUCCCAGACUUGUGAACGAGAUCGGAGAAAGCUAGAGAAACUUGGAGGAGCUUGAGUGUGAGCUUUGAUGUGCUUGAGUAUGGGGUGGGAGGAUUUAUAGCGCAGGAGAGCGUGUUAUAGUUCCGGAUGACUCGCUGACUUUUUCGAAGUUGAAAAGUAAAAUGUGAAGCCGUGCAGAUACGGAUGUAGACCUUCGACCGUGUCAGGCGCAAAGUCAGACGUUUUGGGUAUUUGUGCUUUCAUUGUAGUAAAAAACAUUAAUGUUUUACAACGUCUGGAGUAAAAUGGGUUUGCCAAAACAUAAUUCUUGCAAAUGCUACGCUUGAGAAUCUUUUAGAUUCAUGACUAAUGGGGAAUGUUAUUGAAUGAAUUUCUUCCGCUUUUAAUAAGCUCAGCUCCCAGACUGCAUUUUACCUGGAUUUGCCUGUGCAC
rnacentral:lncRNA from 1 species